UUAAAGUGUACAUUUCUGGGUCUCACCCCAGACCUAACCUAUUGAAUUAAAAUCCGGAGGACUGGGGCCCAGGAAUCUGCAUUUU
rnacentral:miRNA from 1 species